AUUGAACGCUGGCGGCAAGCCUAACACAUGCAAGUCGAACGAGUGGAGGACGGGUGAGUAAUGUCUGGGAAACUGCCUGAUGGAGGGGGAUAACUACCGGAAACGGUAGCUAAUACCGCAUACCAUCGGAUGUGUCGAGAUGGGAUGAGCUAGGAGGUGGGGUAAAGGCUCACCUAGGAGACGAUCCCUAGCUGUGCUGAGAGGAUGAGCAGCCACCCUGGACCGGAGACACGGUCCAGCCUCCUACGCGAGGCAGCGGUGGGGUGUAUUGCACUAUGGACGCAGUCCUCGUGCGGCCAUGCCGCGUGUAUGAAGAAGGCCUUCGGGUUGUAAAGUACUUUCAGCGGUGAGGCGUUACCCGCAGAAGAAGCACCGGCUAACUCCGUGCCAGCAGCCGCGGUAAUAC
rnacentral:rRNA from 1 species